CGACCGGGACGGCCCGGUCACUUCCCUGGGGCAUAGCCGGGACGACCUGG
rnacentral:ncRNA from 1 species